rnacentral:lncRNA from 1 species
GUUGUAGCACAUAUAAAUGCAAUUUCCAGGCACUGACUAUAACUUUUGAGAGGACUUUUUCCUCAGCCAAAAAAAAAAAAAAAAAAUACUGCUUUUGUAUUUGUCAAAUGUUUUACAUGAUGAGGACAAUGUAGUGGUGAUUAUUGCUUGGAGAGGUUAUUGUUUGUUUUGGGGGGUUUUUGUUUGUUGAAACAAUGUCUCAUUAUGUAGUUCAGGCUGACCUUGAACUUCUGGCAAUCCUUCUCCCUCAGCCUCUCAAGUGCUGGUAUUACAGGCGUGCACUACCACACCCAACUGUAGAGCCGGGACCCAUGUACACUCCAACCAAGUCGGAGGACAAAGGCCCCAGCUGAAAUGAGGACUGCAUAUUUAAAGGGAAAAACCACAGAAGAAGUCUCUCCUCCCAUUCCCCUGGGUUACGGAUUGUUGCAGAAGCUGGUUACAGAAGCCAGGAUAAGCACAGAACACCUAUAGAAGCUAAAUCAUCAUCUCAGAGGUACUUGAAAUUAAACUCAACAUGAUGAGAAUACACUAAGAGAGGCUGAAGGACACAUUUUUGAAAGGGCUAGUGGAACUGGGAAUCAAAGACUUCUUAUGGCUAUGAGUUAUAGGCAUAGUCAAAGACUGCUAAUAGGUGUCUCUCUGCCAUGCCAACUUGCCUUGCGCCAGCUGAUUAGGGACUGAAACCUCUACGAACUCUGAGCUGAAAUAAACCUUUCCCCCUUUAACUUUGAGUGUUGAAUAUUUCGUCUCAGCAACAAGAAAAGUAACUGAGACAAUCUUCCUUGUGUACUUGUGGAAAGAGAUACAGAGAAGAAAGAAGAUAGGAUCCUGUUUAGGUCCCUGAGGUCAGGUGCAUGUGCAGCCCACCCACUGCUGGGUUCACGCUGUGUGUGCACCCUGCCCCAUUAUCCAGAACCAGAACCAUCCAAGAUUGGCAGCUCUGCCCUGUUACCACAGUACUGAAACUGCCCACGGGGCAGCUUUUCUCUGUUACCCCAGAGUCAGAACUACCUAGGGGGCACAGCUCUGCCCUGUUAGCCCAUGAUUGGCAGCUCUGCCAUGUUGCCACAGUGUCAAAGCUGCCCAUGGGGCAGCUCUGCCCUGUUUUCUGUCAUUGAUUAGUCCAGCAUCCCUGCUAGUCGUGAAGAAAUCUAUUGCUCAUGGCCAGAACAAGCAUUCUUGUUUUUGACACAUAACUAUUCCAAUCUGUGUCAACAGAUCAGGAAAGCAGCUAGGCUUUACUAAAAAAUUUACUCCACUGCCGCCUGCCUCGCAAGCGCAAGGACCCAAGUUCAAUCCCUGGUACCAAAAAAAAAAAUUUUACUCCAGAGAUCUUUAUAUCUAGGGGCCUGUAACACACACAAGGAAAUCAGAGCAGUGGUGGCAAACCUACAGAGCCCUCUCUGCCGGCACGUGAGCCAAGUCCCCCAAGCAGCUGAGCAUCGGAUAACAGCUGUUUUUUCUAAACUGAAACCUCAGUGCUCAGGUUUAAUUGCAGUGUUGGCACUUCUACAGUAAAUAUGUGGGUUUGGGGUUGCAGUUUGAGGACUCAAUCUCUAAAAGGUUUGCCAUCACUGCCAUAGAGGGUUUUAAAAGUCUGGAGAUGGCGGUUAGCAACUGUAACAAAUGGCAGGGAGGGAUGAGACCACCCAAGCAGGCUAGUGAAACAAAGAGGUAUAGACUUUAUUCACCCGGGCAGAGGCGGACUGACCACAAGCAAAAGGUCAUCAGCACUGAACAAAGAAAAGGCAAGAAGCUUUAUAGGGCAUUGGAAGAGAGGUCUGACACUUGUGGGGUCAGAGCAAAUAUUUGUGGUUGGGGUCCAUGCAGCAAUCCAGGCAGAUGUACAGAUACAUUCUGGUGGCUUGGCAUUGAAAAGAUGCUGUGCUUUGUAGUUGUUAUCUCUAUGUUGGGAACAUCUCAUCCUGUAUUCUGUGUCCGAGAUAGCAUGGCAUUUGUCAGGCGGAGACAGCACUUGCAUCUGUCUCUGCUACCUGUUUUGUUGUGGUUUUUUGAAUCUUGUUAAACUAUAGCUUGGAAUUAAAGAGCAUAUUCAUUAACCAUUUUACUACCAGGUCAAGCCUGACAACAACUACAAAUCACAUACCAUUUUAGAUAGGGAGAUAAACAUGAGGGAAAAUUAUCACAGGAACACCAGAACCAAAUACAAUGGAGGGAGGAAGCAUGCUAGCACUAGAGAAGCAACCCUGAGAGGCCCCAGAAAGAAAAUCCCUGCAGGCAGGGCUGGAUGGGCAGCUGCCCUCGGAUCCAGGCAGGCCAUGGCAAACAACACUCAGAGCUGAAAUGGAGCCCUUCCUGAAGGCCCAGCAGGAGCACACUGAUGCCACGUGCUUCCCCUUCCCCCGCCCAUGUAGUGGGACACACUAGGAACUGUCCUGGAGCCAGGAGAGAACUUCCUGAGUUCCCCAGCUCCCAUCGACCCCCUCCACUCUCAAGAUCCUUGCUGCUCCCUGACA